GAGUUUGAUCAUGGCUCAGAGCGAACGCUGGCGGCAGGCUUAACACAUGCAAGUCGAGCGGCCGUAGCAAUACGGAAGCGGCAGACGGGAGAGUAACACGUGGGAACGUGCCCUUUAGUUCGGAAUAGGCCAGGGAAACUUGGGUUAAUACCGGAUAAGCCCUAACGGGGAAAGAUUUAUCGCUAAAGGAUCGGCCCACGUCUGAUUAGCUAGUUGGUGAGGUAAUGGCUCACCAAGGCGACGAUCAGUAGCUGGUCUGAGAGGAUGACCAGCCUCACUGGGACUGAGACACGGCCCAGACUCCUACGGGAGGCAGCAGUGGGGAAUAUUGGACAAUGGGCGCAAGCCUGAUCCAGCCAUGCCGCGUGGGUGAUGAAGGCCCUAGGGUUGUAAAGCCCUUUCGGCGGGGAAGAUAAUGACGGUACCCGCAGAAGAAGCCCCGGCUAACUUCGUGCCAGCCGCCGCCGUAAG
rnacentral:rRNA from 1 species